UCCCUCCAAAUCCCUUUCCCAUCGGAUCUGAAUACCGAUCUGGUGGUCGAAAAAGGAGGAAAAGUAAAAUUUCGGCUGGUCAGGGCCUCGGCUGGUGCAGUCCUGCUCUGAGAGGGGCCAGUUGGAAAACAUC
rfam:Cuculus canorus isolate BGI_N303 unplaced genomic scaffold scaffold317, whole genome shotgun sequence.